rnacentral:rRNA from 1 species
UACGGAGGGUCCGAGCGUUAAUCGGAAUUACUGGGCGUAAAGCGCACGCAGGCGGUUUGUUAAGCUAGAUGUGAAAGCCCCGGGCUCAACCUGGGAGGGUCAUUUAGAACUGGCAGACUAGAGUCUUGGAGAGGGGAGUGGAAUUCCAGGUGUAGCGGUGAAAUGCGUAGAGAUCUGGAGGAACAUCAGUAACGAAAACGACUCCCUGGCCAAAGACUGACGCUCAUGUGCGAAAGUGUGGGUAGCGAACAGG